AGCAGCCGCGGUAAUUCCAGCUCCAAUAGCGUAUAUUAAAGUUGUUGCAGUUAAAAAGCUCGUAGUUGAAUUUCGGGAUCAAUCUGUUGGUCGUGCCUUUGGUACGUACUAGCUUAUUGAUUUCUCCCUUCUGACGAACCAUGAUGUCAUUAAUUUGGUGUCAUGGGGAAUCAGGACUGUUACUUUGAAAAAAUUAGAGUGUUUAAAGCAGGCUCACGCUUGAAUACAUUAGCAUGGAAUAAUGAAAUAGGACGUUUUGAUUCUAUUUUGUUGGUUUCUAGGAUCGACGUAAUGAUUAAUAGGGAUAGUUGGGGGCAUUAGUAUUCAAUUGUCAGAGGUGAAAUUCUUGGAUUUAUUGAAGACUAACUACUGCGAAAGCAUUUGCCAAGGAUGUUUUCAUUAAUCAAGAACGAAAGUUAGGGGAUCGAAGACGAUCAGAUACCGUCGUAG
rnacentral:rRNA from 1 species